rnacentral:SRP_RNA from 1 species
AGGCAGGGGCUUCGCAGCAGGUUGCGGGUGAACCCCGUCAGGGUCGGAAGGCAGCAGCGGUAAUUCGUUUGCUUGGGUGUUGGAGAUUCCCUGCCUGAC